GCAUUCUUUUAGUUACGAGUUUCUCCCUCCCAAUUGGACUCGACGGCGUGUGCCGAUUUUCGGAUAUGUCGCCUUACAGCUCAAACGCCGUUCGUUGAUUUUUGAUCGAAAACGAUUUGGAGCAAACGUGUCGUUCGUUAUCUUGCUCGUUCCCGGCGGCUGGGAUCCGCUUCACGUCAGCGUGCUCCAACGGGCUAACUCCAAUACCAAGGUCAAGAGCGACGUCAAAAUGCAAGACGAAGAAGAUCCAGACGACAACGCUGAAAGGUUCCCCAACACACGUGGAGCUCUCUCCGCAGAUGACGCCUAAAUCUGCAGCAGCUAAAUAGCAAGAAUCCAAUGCAAGUGCGGCACGAUAGGACAUGAAAUCUUAGUUGAGUGUGAAAGAACCGGAGCAGAUGCUGAACAAGCCAGACCACUCGUCUUGCCUCAGUGUGGGGAUUUUUCCAUGGUGGCCCGAAACAUGACAGCCACAGCUGCCGGGAGCAGGAUGACGAGAAGACGACGGGCACGUCGUGGCGCACGGUCAGGACGCUAUCGUCGCUGCCUCAACGGGAGCCGGGGCAAAGCCCGCCGAUGAAGUCGUGCCUGGGAGCGAGCCAAUCACCUGAGCGAGACUCCCGAUGUGCUUGGCGAUGGGCUGCCUUCCGCCGCGGAUGCGGACGCAGGCCGCCCACAAGGCGACCCGCCCCCUGCUUCCAGCCAUUCGCCUCAGGGGCCCACACCACCGCAGUCAGUGCGUCACCAUUGCGCGCGGCAAAGUCGCAUCGAUGAUCCCCUCCGAUUGUGUUUUUCUGCGGCGAGCCAGGAUCGAACCUCCCCCUCGAGUGAGACACAAGGAGAGAGAAAGCGAGCAAGGAGUUGAAAGACUAAGCGUAGCCUGGACUUGACCGCAUGCAUGAAAGCGACCCCUUCGACUUCCAUUUUUCUGUCUAUGGCCCUCCGACAAAAAGGUUUGGACACCCCUGAGUUAAGGCAUCCUUUCACAAUGUAUUUUUGGGGGGGCUCCACAACCUAGUCUGUCUGUGUAUGUCCAUUUAUUGACUUGUCCAUCAAACGAGAACUAAUGAUGUUGAUCAUCAGCUAUUGGUUUUUUUUUUGCCCAUUUAAGCUUAGCAUUUUAGAAAAAUAGGAACAUUAGACCAACCUCAAAUGUAAUUGCAGACAUGAUGGAUUCCUACGUCUUACUCAACAGACGCUAUUUCCACGGCAUGCAAGUUGAUUCCUUGACAGACUGGAUCAUUUUGCUCUGUAAUUUGAAUUCUUCAAGUUGGAACGGUGGCAGAAAUUUUAGGGCAUAGCGAUUGUGCGACAGGGGCUCUGUCGCUGCACAAAAUGCUGGGUAAAUCUUUGGGCUGAGCAACGUUCGCAUCCUUGACAUUUCAAAGGCUCACCUAGCCCCUGACCUGCCUCACGCAGCCCACAAGCUUAGAAUGAGAACCCCUCGGAGAAGCUGAAGUGUAAUUAACCCGUUGGCAACAAACGACUACAUUUCUCUUCCAAGUACGGGAGUGAAGAAGUGAGAAUAAACAUUGAA